rnacentral:rRNA from 1 species
AGCGAACGCUGGCGGCAGGCCUAAUACAUGCAAGUCGAACGGUCUCUUCGGAGGCAGUGGCGGACGGGUGAGUAACGCGUGGGAAUAUGCCCUUUGGUACGGAACAACUGAGGGAAACUUCAGCUAAUACCGUAUGUGCCCUUCGGGGGAAAGAUUUAUCGCCAUUGGAGUAGCCCGCGUUGGAUUAGGUAGUUGGUGGGGUAAAGGCCUACCAAGCCUACGAUCCAUAGCUGGUCUGAGAGGAUGAUCAGCCACACUGGGACUGAGACACGGCCCAGACUCCUACGGGAGGCAGCAGUAGGGAAUCUUGCGCAAUGGG